CCUACGGGAGGCUGCAGUGGGGAAUAUUGGACAAUGGGCGAAAGCCUGAUCCAGCCAUGCCGCGUGUGUGAAGAAGGCCUUCGGGUUGUAAAGCACUUUCAGUGGGGAAGAAAGCCUUGGGGCUAAUACCCUCGAGGAAGGACAUCACCCACAGAAGAAGCACCGGCUAACUCCGUGCCAGCAGCCGCGGUAAUACGGAGGGUGCGAGCGUUAAUCGGAAUUACUGGGCGUAAAGCGCGCGUAGGCGGUCUGAUAAGCCGGUUGUGAAAGCCCCGGGCUCAACCUGGGAACGGCAUCCGGAACUGUCAGGCUAGAGUGCAGGAGAGGAAGGUAGAAUUCCCGGUGUAGCGGUGAAAUGCGUAGAGAUCGGGAGGAAUACCAGUGGCGAAGGCGGUCUUCUGGACUGAAACUGACGCUGAGGUGCGAAAGCGUGGGUAGCAAACAGGAUUAGAUACCCUGGUAGUC
rnacentral:rRNA from 1 species